CCAGCUGCUGCUUUGGGUGAAGCCAUCGGCACAGGCUGAGCGUCUGGAACAGGCUGCACAGAUGUCAAGAGAAAGCUGGGGAUAUUAGUGCUUAAAAGGAUGCCAGCUCUGAGCAAACUGAAAGCAGAUUCUUACUUCUGGUGAUUCUACAUUCACUGUUUGGCAGCCUAAUGCUUUGCAAAGAAAUGCUGAGAAAUGCAGCUGGCAUAGGUUAAAGUAUUUUUUCUCCACCCCUAGGUAAAACUUACACAGAAAAUAUUAUUCUCUCUUUUGCUGCAAGUCUUUGGGGGACAACAACUGCACAAAGCUUCCUCAUUGUGCAACUGACAGACUGUGGAUAUUGGACAUGGUCUUUAUGUGUUCACAUUUUUAUUUUAAAGCAGGUAAAGUCUGCACAGAAAUAAAUUUGUCACAUAAU